GACGAACGCUGGCGGCGUGCCUAAUACAUGCAAGUAGGACGCAGUUGCGUACGGGUUAGUAACGCGUCGGUCACUGCCUAUUGGAGGGGGAUAACUAUUGGAAACGAUAGCUAAUACCGCAUACUAGUAGAUGGACCUGGGUUGUAGUAGCUAGUCGGGAGGGUAAUGGCCUCCCUAGGUAAAGAUACAUAGCCGACCUGAGGGGGUGAUCGGCCACACUGGGACUGGGACACGGCCCAGACUCCUACGGGAGGCAGCAGUAGGGAAUCUUCGGCAAUGGGGGGAACCCUGGCCGAGCAACGCCGCGUGGGUGAAGAAGGGUUUCGGGUCGUAAAGCUCUGUUGUUAAGGAAGCGGUACUUAACCAGAAAGGAACGGCUAACUACGUGCCAGCCGCCGCGGUAAUAC
rnacentral:rRNA from 1 species